GGGUUUCACGUGGUUGCCUGCGUGAUGGGAGCUGUUGGGUUGGUGGCUAUCUCGGCGGUUAAAUUUGUGGAUACGAAUAUGUAUAAGAAAGAAGCAGUAGCAGAUCUCGCAUGCGCUGGGGUGGAGGUGCUGUGGCUGGGCCAAUGUAGAAAGGACCCUGGCCGUCCAGCAGAGGAGCAGGUGCCACCAGGCGCCCCGAUGACUUCCGUUUCUUCCCUAUGGCCAACUUGGGCCGUUUGAAUGCGAAAGCACCCUCGUCCAGCCAGCGGCCACUCUCUAAGGAUUGGGUUCUUGGUCCUGUCUGAACAGGAUGACGUUAUGGCGAUUGUUCAAUGGAGCAGUGCUGAAGUUGGUGCACACCAAGAAGGAAGCGAACAGUGCAACUGAGGGCACGAAGUGUAGGAAGAAACACAGUAUCGCCUAAUGGCCCCAACUGGAGUUUGUUGCUGUGAUGCAUGUGUUACUCUGCACGAUGACCCAUCUUUUGCAUUGUUCAUUCCUUUUGCGAGAGUUCAGCUUCUCUGGAUGUCAUGCCUAAAGCUGCAGGCAGGCAUGCAUAAAUGUAUUUUGAAGGAUACGGGUUCCCAUCUAGAGAAGGUGGCAUCAUUGCAAGUGUUGACUGCUUACCCUUAUU